rnacentral:rRNA from 1 species
UUUUCCCUACGGGGGGCAGCAGUGGGGGAUAUUGCACAAUGGGGGAAACCCUGAUGCAGCGACGCCGCGUGGGUGAAGAAGCGCUUCGGCGCGUAAAGUCCUGUCAGCAGGGAAGAAAAUGACGGUACCUGAAGAAGAAGCCCCGGCUAACUACGUGCCAGCAGCCGCGGUAAUACGUAGGGGGCAAGCGUUAUCCGGAUUUACUGGGUGUAAAGGGUGCGUAGGCGGCAGGGCAAGUCAGAUGUGAAAGCCCGGGGCUCAACCCCGGUACUGCAUUUGAAACUGUCCAGCUGGAGUGCAGGAGG